CUGUGACAGGAAAGUUUUGCAACCUAAUUUACAGCCCGAGUCAAGCUUGUCGGUGAGAGCCAGAGGCGAGCUGAGCUGUUGCAACUGGCUGGUUAAGUACGCAUUUAAUAGUGUUUACCCAGGCAAGCUUGUGAUUUCUUCACCCUCUCCAACAAAUAUGUGAUUUGUAAUGCCUAUCUUCUCUAAUCUAAGUGUUUGAAAAAUGUUUCUAACAUGUGUGGGCUAGAAUGCGUUUUGUUUUUCUGCAAGGUAGCCAUUUAGCAAGGGCAACCUCAGAGGGACUAUCCAAAACUGCUUGCCAUUUUGCUAAAUCAUGGUUCUCUGCAGUGAUCAUUUUUAAUCCUGAAGGAAAACAAGAAAUAGUUCAUGAUGGUAUUGAACUAUGUGGCACAAACUGGCCUCGAACUUACAGCAAUCCUCUUGCUUCCAGCUCCAAGAGCGUUGGGAUUCUGGUACCAGAGCAUCUACAGUUCAGGAGGCUCCAACCCAUGGGUCAGAUGCCUUGAGAGUUUGCAGAGUUACAAAAUCAGGCACCUGAAACAUGCAUCUGUUUAUCUUUUCUUAAUGCAAUCAUUAGCAUGUGGAGAUGUAUGACAUUUUUAGAGUGUUCCAGAAGAAAGCACACCUCGUGCAGCAACCAAACUGUACUAGGUAUCAUCCUCUGAACCAGCCUGGCCUUCCCCACCCUUGCGGCUCAUGGGAGAGAUGCCCUCUACAUCCAGCACCUGUGCUCUGUCCCCAUUGCUGAAGGAAAGGCAUUCAUUCUACUUCAAACACACUUUACUUUUAAUUGGAUACGAUUCUGUUAUGCCAGUUAUGCAAGGAAACUAAUGUGAAAAACCAAAAACUUUGGGGUCUAAAUGACCUCAUUCUGUAGUUGAGCUCUGCUGCUUAUUAAAGGUGUAGCACUGGAAACAUU